rnacentral:rRNA from 1 species
UACGAAGGGGGCUAGCGUUGCUCGGAAUUACUGGGCGUAAAGGGCGCGUAGGCGGACAGUUUAGUCAGAGGUGAAAGCCCAGGGCUCAACCUUGGAAUUGCCUUUGAUACUGGCUGUCUUGAGUUCGGGAGAGGUGAGUGGAAUGCCGAGUGUAGAGGUGAAAUUCGUAGAUAUUAGGAAGAACACCGGUGGCGAAGGCGGCCCACUGGAUCGGUACUGACGCUGAGGUGCGAAAGCGUGGGGAGCAAACAGG